rnacentral:rRNA from 1 species
UUAGAUACCCUGGUAGUCCACGCAGUAAACGAUGAAUGCUAGUUGUCCGGGGCGAUUGAGUUCUGGGUGACACAGCGAAAGCGUUAAGCAUUCCACCUGGGGAGUACGCCGGCAACGGUGAAACUCAAAGGAAUUGACGGGGGCCCGCACAAGCGGAGGAACAUGUGGUUUAAUUCGAUGAUACGCGAGGAACCUUACCCGGGCUCAAACGCAGGAGGGAUGUUUUUGAAAGGAGGCAGCCAGCAAUGGUCUCCUGCGAGGUGCUGCAUGGUU